rnacentral:tRNA from 1 species
AUUUAAAUAGUUUAAACUAAAACAUUGACUUGUGGUGUCAAAGAUACAAAAUUUUUGUUUUAAGUC